AUGGGGAAUCAAUAUCAUUUUGAUACAGGCUGCAGAAGAUGUAAAUGCUUGUGUGGAAAUCUGAAGGUUCCUAAUAUAGUUCAUAUUUUCGGGUGGAGCACAAGUUCAUAUCGCAGACGACGACAACAACAACAACAGAUGCUUGCUUAUGAAUUUGUUUCCAGUGGCAUUCUCCUAUAUUGUCUUCAUUGGGUACCACCAAUCAUUCAAUACACGUUUCCCAUACUUCUUUUACAUUUCGUUUUUCAAGAUCUACCUUACUGUCCAGAACAUCAAGUUUUUUGCAUCAUUUUGCUGACCAAACUUUUGGUUAUGGCUCCUUGA